rnacentral:rRNA from 1 species
AACCUGCGGAGGGAUCAUUAUAGAGUUUUCUAAACUACGGCUUAUAACUCCAACCCAUGUGAACUUACCUUUGUUGCCUCGGCAGAAGUUAUAGGUCUUCUUAUAGCUGCUGCCGGUGGACCAUUAAACUCUUGUUAUUUUAUGUAAUCUGAGCGUCUUAUUUUAAUAAGUCAAAACUUUCAACAACGGAUCUCUUGGUUCUGGCAUCGAUGAAGAACGCAGCGAAAUGCGAUAAGUAAUGUGAAUUGCAGAAUUCAGUGAAUCAUCGAAUCUUUGAACGCACAUUGCGCCCAUUAGUAUUCUAGUGGGCAUGCCUGUUCGAGCGUCAUUUCAACCCUUAAGCCUAGCUUAGUGUUGGGAAUCUACUUCUUUAUAGUUGUAGUUCCUGAAAUACAACGGCGGAUUUGUAGUAUCCUCUGAGCGUAGUAAUUUUUUUCUCGCUUUUGUUAGGUGCUAUAACUCCCAGCCGCUAAACCCCCAAUUUUUUGUGGUUGACCUCGGAUCAGGUAGGAAUACCCGCUG